AUGACACGUGGUUGACGCGGGCCGCGUAACCCCUGUCCUUUCUUUACGCGGGCCGCGUGGGAACCAGUUUCAGCAACUAUAAAUAGAGGCCAUCGGAUUUCAUUUGGAAUUCGCUCACGAACGUUUUCUUCUCUCAAAUCUGAAUAUUAGGCAUAAUACUCGGGUAUUAUACCCCCCUAAUUAGCAAAGCUCUGCCUCGUUACUAUAACCAGGGAAUCACAAAGGAAAGCCUUAUAAUAG
rnacentral:lncRNA from 1 species